CUGCUAUUGAUGCAAGUGGCGGCAAUGUAAAUUUUUUACUUUUGUAUACUGUGCUGCUGUAAUUAAUAAAGUAGCAUUUAUGGAUAGGUAUUUGAUUAAAAAAAAACAAGCCGUCAGAGCCAUCGGAAAUAAUUGUCCCACUAUCUUAUAGUGAAAGCAGUUUAGUUCUUUGGAAACAUUAUUAUAUUCCAAACGCUUAUUUUUUUCAUACUUGAUAGCGACACUCAUGAAGCACAAGCAAAAAAAAACUGAACGAAAGUUUAGGUCAGCUUGGCUAAGUAAAUUUCCUUGGCUGCAGGACAACGAUGCGUCCAGCUUUUGUAUAGCCUGCGAAAAGAAAAUUGCAAAUAACGUGACGUACUUUAACAAGCAUUCUAAUUUAUCCUGCCACUUGCAAAAUGUUGAGCGUAAAAAAGAUCAAGUGAACAUCGAAUCAUGCAUGAAUGUGGAAAAGCAGCAACUUUCCCAGCAAGUGCGUCAAGCUGAACUGACAUUGGUCAUGUUUUUGAUAUGCCAUUUCUGUUGAUGUAUUCUUUGCCGUCUCUUAUUAAAGAAUGCUGCCCGGACUCAAAAAUUGCAGCUGCUCUUCAAAUGGCAAGAACCAAGUCAGCAAAUGUAGCAGAAAUUUUAGGUAAUAAGGCAAGGGAUAAAAUUGUGGAUCAAUUAAAACAAAUAAAAUUUUCGCUCAUUGUUGAUGAAACUACCAACGUAUCAACGAAGAAAUCGUUAGUCUUAAUUGCGAGAUAUUUUGACCAUUUGACAAAAAGAAUAAGCGACAAAUUUUUGGGUUUAAUCAGCGUAGUAAAGUAAAGUAUUAAAGAAUUUUUCAACGAACAGGGCGUUCCAUUAGAGAACAUCAUAGGUCUCGCCACCGAUGGCGCAAAUGUAAUGGCUUCAGAGGUAAAUGGAUUAGCAGGAAAGUUUAGAAACGAUGUUAAUUUGUUUUAUUUAAAAUGUUCUUGCCAUUCACUACAUUUAUGUUCCGCUUACGCGUGUAAAAAACUGCCUGGUCAAAUUGAACAACUUUGCCGUAAUAUUUACAAAUUUUUUGCACACAGUCCAAAAAGAAUUGAAGAAUUUAAAGAUUUUCAAGAUUAUUGUUCGGUGCAGCCACAUAAAAUAUUGGGUAUUUCCAUGACCAGAUUUCUUUCACUGGAAGCAGUCAUAAAUAGAAUAAUAGAACAGUGGAAUCCAUUACAGUUAUAUUUUUUAGACUCUGUGUUGGAAGUAAAUGGAAUCAAAGCCAAUGAGAUGGCAGUGCAAAUGAAUGAUCCUGAAAUCAAAACCUACUUUUUUUAUCAUAUAUCCUCAAAAUCAUAAAUGAUCUCAACAGGGAAUUUCAAUCGGAAAAAGUUCGCUUGCCUUAUUUAUAUUCCCAUCUGGACACGACUUUCAAAUUAUUAUUAAGCAAUUUCAUUAAAAUUGAAUAUGUAAGCGGUUAUCAUUAGAAAAUAUUAAUUUCCACGAAAAAGAAAACUAUUUACCAAUAGAAGAAAUAUGCAUUGGAUCCAAGGCAGAACAACAUUUGCAAAAAAAUAAACUAUCCUUUUCUGAUACAGUUAGAAUAAAAAAUAGCAUUUUAAAUUUUUAUUUGGAGCUGUUGCAGCAAAUUAAAAAAAGGUUCGAUUUUUCGAGAAAUGACCUAAAAUUAUUAUCGAUUAUUACGCCCAGCAUAGUUUUAUCUGAUCAUCAAACACAAAUUGAGCCCUUGUUGUAUCAAUUUUCCAAUUUAUUUGAAUUUAAUGAGGACGUAAUUGUACAGCAAUGGAAAAUAUUAAGAUUUUCCAAACUCGAUUUGAAAAGGGAUAUGGAUAUUGAAGAUUUGUGGGAACAAGUUUCAUACCAUAAAGAUGGAAUGGGCCAACAUUGUUUUAAGGAUUUGACCAAUUUGGUACAAAAUUUAAUAACAUUGCCGCACAGCUCAGCAGCUGCUGAACGGCAAUUUUCUGAAUUAAAUCUGAUAAAAACGAAAUUGAGAAAUAAACUCAGCUUAAAAACUAUUAAUAACAUAAUGCUGGCCAAAGAACUGUGCACUAGUCGCAAGCCAAAUUAUGUUUGGUCUGCUGCAAAAGAAAAUCUUUAAAAAUAUAUGAAAGUUUAAAAAAUUACACAAAC
rnacentral:lncRNA from 1 species